rnacentral:rRNA from 1 species
GGGUUAGCAGGUCGGUCGUGCCAUCGGUAUGAACUGGUCUCGCUGAUCCCUCCCUCUUGACGAACUGUGAUGCCAUUAAUUUGGUGUCGCAGGGAAUCAGGACUGUUACUUUGAAAAAUUAGAGUGUUUAAAGCAGGCUCACGCUUGAAUACAUUAGCAUGGAAUAAUGAAAUAGGACGUUUGAUCCUAUUUUGUUGGUUUCUAGGAUUGACGUAAUGAUUA